UCCGGUUUGUCACCGGCAGUCUCAUAUGAGUUCCCACCAUUACGUGCUGGCAACAUACGACGAGGGUUGCGCUCGUUGCGGGACUUAACCCAACAUCUCACGACACGGGCUGACGACAACCAUGCACCACCUGUAACCGAGUGUCCAAAGAGUUCCGCAUCUCUGCGGCGUUCUCGGUUAUGUCAAGCCUUGGUAAGGUUCUUCGCGUUGCAUCGAAUUAAAGAACAUGCUCCGCUGCUUGUGCGGGCCCCCGUCAAUUCUUUUGAGUUUUAGCCUUGCGGCCGUACUCCCCAGGCGGGACACUUAACGCGUUGGCUUCGGCACAGACAGAUUCGACUCCGCCCACACCUAGUGUCCAUCGUUUACGGCUAGGACUAC
rnacentral:misc_RNA from 1 species